rnacentral:rRNA from 1 species
UACCCGCAGCACAAGUGGUGGUCAUUAUUAUUGGGCCUAAAGCGUCCGUAGCUGGCUUGUUAGAUGCCUGGGUAAAUCGAUGCGCUUAACGCAUCGAAUUCCGGGUAGACCGGCAAGCUCGAGACCGGGAGAGGUGUAGGGUACUCGGGGGGUAGGGGUAAAAUCCUGUAAUCCUCCGGGGACGACCAGUGGCGAAGGCGCUACACUAGAACGGCUCUGACAGUGAGGGACGAAGCCCUGGGGCGCAAACCGG